rnacentral:rRNA from 1 species
AGUGAACGCUGGCGGUAGGCCUAACACAUGCAAGUCGAACGGCAGCACAGUAAGAGCUUGCUCUUACGGGUGGCGAGUGGCGGACGGGUGAGGAAUACAUCGGAAUCUACUUUUUCGUGGGGGAUAACGUAGGGACACUUACGCUAAUACCGCAUACGACCUACGGGUGAAAGCAGUGGAUCUUCGGACCUUGCGCGAUUGAAUGAGCCGAUGUCGGAUUAGCUAGUUGGCGGGGUAAAGGCCCACCAAGGCGACGAUCCGUAGCUGGUCUGAGAGGAUGAUCAGCCACACUGGAACUGAGACACGGUCCAGACUCCUACGGGAGGCAGCAGUGGGGAAUAUUGGACAAUGGGCGAAAGCCUGAUCCAGCCAUACCGCGUGGGUGAAGAAGGCCUUCGGGUUGUAAAGCCCUUUUGUUGGGAAAGAAAAGCAGCAGGUUAAUACCCCGCUGUUCUGACGGUACCCAAAGAAUAAGCACCGGCUAACUUCGUG